rnacentral:rRNA from 1 species
CGAGUGUUUUGAGAAGGUUGGAUGAAUGCGGGUGCCGAGAAUUAGCUCUCUGGAAGAUCUAUUUCUCUGGCAGACGUACGUGUGCUGUAGGGCGGUGUGAAUGUGUGAGCGUAAAUGUUGUUCGUUGCUGCCCGCAGGGAUCUAUCUGUGGCCCAUUCAUUUGGAACCUCAUGAUGGACCCCUUGCUGGUGCAGCUUGAGCAGAUGUGUAAAUGUUGUGCGUAUGCGGACGAUCUGCUUAUCUUGAUUGAGGGUCGGUCGCGUCUUGAGAUCGAGACGAAUGCGGGUAUGUGCUUGCGCACUGUGUAUGAGUGGGGUGAAAGUGUUGGGCUCACUCUUGCAAUGGACAAGACAGUGUCAAUGCUGCUCAAGGGCAGAUUGGCAGAUAGCCGGCCACCCAUUGUCAGACUGAAUGGAGUGAAUGUGAGGUAUGCGUCUGAGGUGAAAUACCUCGGCAUAACCUUCGGCGAGAGGAUGUGUUUCACUCCUCAUAUCGCUGGUCUCAAGGCCCGGCUACUUGGUUUGGUGGGGCAAGUGCGUCGUAUUUUGAGGUCUGACUGGGGCCUAAGCAGACGUGCUGUCCGCACCAUCUAUGAGGGUCUGUUUGUUGCAUGUGCAGCAUAUGGAUCGUCUGUAUGUUUGCAAGGCGCUCACGACUGUGGUCGGCAGAAAGAAAGUGCUGGCUUGCCAGAGAGUGCUUCUGUUAGGUUGUUUGCCUGUGUGCCGCACUGUCUCUACGGAGGCAAUGCAGGUACUGGCUGGAUCAGGCGUCGAGCCUUGAUGUACAGGAUCAAGAGGCGGCUGCCAUUGCUGCAGAAUGAUUGGCUAGCGGGUAGGGAUGUGGAGAGUUUAGGGCUAAGUGAAUGCAAGAGAUUGGUGAAAGAGUGUGCUUUGUCGCACUGUCUCUACGGAGGCAAUGCAGGUACUGUUAGGAGUAGCCCCUCUUGACUUGGAGAUCAGGCGUCGAGCCUUAAUGUACAGGAUCAAGAGGCGGCUGCCAUUGCUGCAGAAUGAUUGGCUAGCGGGUAGGGAUGUGGAGAGUUUAGGGCUUAGUGAAUGCAAGAGAUUGGUGAAAGAGUGUGUUUUGUCUGACUGGCAAGUCAGAUGGGACACUAGCGUGAAUGGGCGUGUCACUCAUCGGUUUAUACGGGAGGUUACAUUUGCCGGCAGCCGACCAGACUUUGGGUUCGGCCUGAGUCUUGGAUUCCUGUUGACUGGUCACGGUUCCCUCAAUGCAUUCCUGCAUUCGAGGAACCUUUAUGACAGUCCAGAAUGCCGUUGUGGCUCGGCUGCUGAGACAUGGGAGCAUGUUCUCUGUGAGUGCACAAGGUAUGCAGAUCUUCGAGAUCUGAGGGGGAUGGGUAUAAGUGAGGUUAGUGGCGGGUUUGACGUAAGUCAAUCACUCUCCACUAGUGAUAGAGUUAGAAGGAUGAGUGAGUUUGCUAGAGCUGCAUUUUCCAGGCGACGUUUGCAAUUGCAGGAAGGAAUUGUAUGAAUGAUGAUGGAUGAUAGAUGUAGGAAUUUGGGGGUACGAACGUGGGGGUGUGUCUGUAUGGUAAUUUUUGUUGAACAUUGUGUUGUGUUGGGGCUACCAACCCUUAACUGUUUUGGAGUUUAAAUUGGAAGUGCCCUUCUGGUACGAGGCCUGACCAGAGGCUUUUAAUCUGGUACCACGGGUAACCAGGAGCCCACGGAACUUGUUCCGUCCUGGUAAGUUGGUGCGGCCCUUCGGGGAGUAUCGUGGUGGUUGUGGUUUAACACCCAAAUGCGUGUAGAGCAUCGCUCGACGUGGAGUUGCGUCAUACAACCGGGUUCCGUGACCCAGAUUACGGAAGAGGCUUAGGUAGUCCUCGUGCCAAACCAAGGUAGAAGUCACAACCAAACAGUUGUGUCUUUAAUUGGUACCUGCGGAAUUGAUGUUCCAAGGGGGCGGUGAUUGACGCUUGAAUUAAUCCUAUACUAGGAACCGUGAGAUUAAGCCAUCGCGGCAGGUGCUCACGUUAAGCCCACUGUCUUUCAUGUCCCUAUCUACUAUCUAGCGAAACCACAGCCAAGGGAACGGGCUUGGAAUAAUUAGCGUGGAAAGAAGACCCUUUUGAGCUUGACUCUAAUCUGGCAGUGUAAGGAGACAUAAGAGGUGUAGAAUAAGUGGGAGAUAUUAGACUUCGGUUUGGUAUCGACAAUGAAAUACCACUACUCUUAUUGUUUCCUUACUUACUUGAUUAAAUGGAACGUGUAUCAUUUCCUAGCCAUUAUACGGAUAUAAUUAUUAUGUCUUAUGGUAUUGGGUUUUGAUGCAAGCUUCUUGAUCAAAGUAUCACGAGUUUGUUAUAUAAUCGCAAACAAAUUCUUUAAUGAGAGAAUGCAUUUAUGUAUUAUUGAUUUAAAAAUUUGGUAUAACUCCAAUUACUCAGGUAUGAUCCAAUUCAAGGACAUUGCCAGGUAGGGAGUUUGACUGGGGCGGUACAUCUCUCAAAUAAUAACGGAGGUGUCCCAAGGCCAGCUCAGUGCGGACAGAAACCACACAUAGAGCAAAAGGGCAAAUGCUGACUUGAUCUCGGUGUUCAGUACACACAGGGACAGCAAAAGCUCGGCCUAUCGAUCCUUUUGGUUUAAAGAGUUUUUAACAAGAAGUGUCAGAAAAGUUACCAUAGGGAUAACUGGCUUGUGGCGGCCAAGCGUUCAUAGCGACGUCGCUUUUUGAUCCUUCGAUGUCGGCUCUUCCUAUCACUGUGAAGCAAAAUUCACCAAGCGUUGGAUUGUUCACCCAUGCAAGGGAACGUGAGCUGGGUUUAGACCGUCGUGAGACAGGUUAGUUUUACCCUACUAAUGACAAAACGUUGUUGCGACAGCAUUCCUGCGUAGUACGAGAGGAACCGCAGGUACGGACCAAUGGCACAAUACUUGUUCGAGCGAACAGUGGUAUGACGCUACGUCCGUUGGAUUAUGCCUAAACGCCUCUAAGGUCGUAUUCGUGCUGGACUGCAAUGAUAAAUAAGGGGCAAUUUGCAUUGUAUGGCUUCUAAAUCAUUAAAAGUUUUUAAUUUGUUUUAUUAACGACAAUGGAUGUGAUGCCAAUGUUAUUUAUAACAUAGUAAAUUGGGAGGAUCUUCGAUCACCUGAUGCCGCGCUAGUUAUAUUUCAAAGCAUUAUUU